CAGAAUUGCCUUAUCUCACACAGUGGUGACAGCACUCUGUAAUAAUCUGCAUGGGCCAGGGCUCCUUGGUUGCAGGUAACAGAUACCACUGUUACGGCCCAACUCUGUUCUUCUAUGUUGAAGCCGGAACCCCCAGCGCCUCAGAAUGGGAUCACAUCUGGAGAAGGCGCCUUUAAAGAGAACCCAUCGUAUAAAAAGGCCAUACCUUCUGGAGGGACGUCGAUGGUAUUAGGAUAGAAGCACCAGGGGACCCCACGAACGGUGUCGUCGAAACAGCAGCCCUUAUUUGCACACUGGGAGGGCGUGACACCAGGAAAACCACAAUUCUGUCUUUCACGGGGGGCCACUGUACACGUCUCUGAAAGUGCACAGGAGGAGGUUCACCAGGUGAAGAUGGAGCCGCAUGGGCAAAGGCCAUUCCAGAGACCCAGGUGUGUUCAGGAGGUGGAAACCCAUUGCAGGGACUGCCUCGAGAUGUCUUUGGAGAAAGUGUUCCUGGCUUGCUGGGAAGGAUCCGUGUUCAGCUCCCGCUGCCCAGCAGCUUCCAUGGGAACCUUGCCCUCCUGGGGUCUGGAUCCAUCGCGACGUGAAGGUGAUCAUCGCCCACCCCCGGGACACUGUGGGGGUCAAGAGAGGCCCCGUGGUGAGGGAGGAUCAUCAUCCUGGGGGUCGGGGGGGUUUCCUCCUCAGGGAGGAAGAUUUCCAGCCCCGGUGCUCUGCCUCCGGCAGACUCUGUCUUGCCCACCCGCUUUGUCUUUGUCGCAUGAUGGAAAUAAAUGGAAAUGGUUUCCACACACGAAUGC
rnacentral:lncRNA from 10 species